rnacentral:misc_RNA from 1 species
CACCUUUCCAAGCUUGCUAUGGAAAAUCAGCUCCACUUCUCUUCGGAGGCUUUCCGUAUCCAUUGCAAAAUCUCUAUGAUAUUCUUCUACCAACAGAUCUUGCAGUUGCAGCCUCAUUCUCUCCAAAGCAUCAUCCAAGCCACACAAGUCCUUGAAAACCAAAGCUUCAGUUGUUUUGAGUCGCAGGAGAUUCUUGAUUGCAACAAGGGCCUGAAAUAAAUCACCACAUACUAAAACAAAGUAAUGCUGUGAUAUCAAUUAUACAUUCAGAGGUUUCACAUAUGAUGGAGCAAAUUGUGCACACAUGCUUCUCUCUCCCUCUUGUACUCUCUUGGGUGUGCAAAUAAGGUGAAGGGAGGUGAUCCAUCAAGUUCAGUUGAGCCACAACUGAACAAAUCCCGCAAAAGGCAGUCAAAAGAAGCCAGCUAUCAAGUAUUGCUGGAAAAAAGUCUUGACCUCCCCAGCAUCGUGGAUAGAGACUUACUUAAACCCAUCACCUACUACAAAAACAUUCACCUGCCACUUGGACACCAUCCUGUGGAUGUGAUGGUGUGCACACAUGUGAGUUACACAUGAAUAAAGAAUUCUGAAGGAGCACUACCAUGCUCAGUCAGGCAAACAAAGUCCAUCACUAUAAACCCCAGGUUUCAGAAUAAGCACUGCCAUCAACAGUCAUGUUGGUCACAACUCUGCAGUCUCAGCUGCCAAUCACCAAGGAUGGCUGAGAUUGCACAGCUGCAACCGGUUCAAUCAUGCUUAGAAAAAUCCAUUCCAAAUUAAAUCAUGUUUUAUUAUGCAAAUAUAACAAUUCAACAACAGCAGCGGCAGCAACACU